rnacentral:misc_RNA from 1 species
ACAUCCUCAACCUGCUUGGUUUUACCGAACCAAGUAGGCUUGGAAUUUGGAGGUUUUCUGCUGGCCUCCUCCGAAGCCAGCUCCUCUUAAAUGUAUCAGUGGGAUCCGCUUUGCUAGAUCCUCGACGUUGAUAAGAUGUUUCUACGUCUUGGAUUUCGCUCGGGAAGGCACCUGCUUCUAACCGUCCCCUCGGGGACAAUGUUCGAGCCGAUCGCCCUUCCCGGGGUGGGAAGCUUUCGACCCAUGAAA